rnacentral:rRNA from 1 species
GAACGAACGCUGGCGGCCUGCCUAACACAUGCAAGUCGAACGAGACCUUCGGGUCUAGUGGCGCACGGGUGCGUAACGCGUGGGAACCUGCCCUUAGGUUCGGAAUAACUCCCCGAAAGGGGUGCUAAUACCGGAUAAUGUCUUCGGACCAAAGAUUUAUCGCCUUUGGAUGGGCCCGCGUUGGAUUAGCUAGUUGGUAGGGUAAAAGCCUACCAAGGCGACGAUCCAUAGCUGGUCUGAGAGGAUGAUCAGCCACACUGGGACUGAGACACGGCCCAGACUCCUACGGGAGGCAGCAGUGGGGAAUAUUGGACAAUGGGCGAAAGCCUGAUCCAGCAAUGCCGCGUGAGUGAUGAAGGCCUUAGGGUUGUAAAGCUCUUUUACCCGGGAUGAUAAUGACAGUACCGGGAGAAUAAGCUCCGGCUAACUCCGUG